AUGAAGCCCUGCUUGCAGGGUGGAUUAGUGGCGAACGGGUGAGUAACACGUGAGUAACCUGCCCCCGACUCUGGGAUAAGCCCGGGAAACUGGGUCUAAUACCGGAUAUGACUUCCUACUGCAUGGUGGGUUGUUGAAAGAUUUAUCGGUGGGGGAUGGACUCGCGGCCUAUCAGCUUGUUGGUGAGGUAAUGGCUCACCAAGGCGACGACGGGUAGCCGGCCUGAGAGGGUGACCGGCCACACUGGGACUGAGACACGGCCCAGACUCCUACGGGAGGCAGCAGUGGGGAAUAUUGCACAAUGGGCGGAAGCCUGAUGCAGCGACGCCGCGUGAGGGAUGACGGCCUUCGGGUUGUAAACCUCUUUCAGUAGGGAAGAAGCGAAAGUGACGGUACCUGCAGAAGAAGCGCCGGCUAACUACGUGCCAGCAGCCGCGGUAAUACGUAGGGCGCAAGCGUUAUCCGGAUUUAUUGGGCGUAAAGAGCUCGUAGGCGGUUUGUCGCGUCUGCCGUGAAAGUCCGAGGCUCAACCUCGGAUCUGCGGUGGGUACGGGCAGACUAGAGUGAUGUAGGGGAGACUGGAAUUCCUGGUGUAGCGGUGAAAUGCGCAGAUAUCAGGAGGAACACCGAUGGCGAAGGCAGGUCUCUGGGCAUUUACUGACGCUGAGGAGCGAAAGCAUGGGGAGCGAACAGGAUUAGAUACCCUGGUAGUCCAUGCCGUAAACGUUGGGCACUAGGUGUGGGGGACAUUCCACGUUUUCCGCGCCGUAGCUAACGCAUUAAGUGCCCCGCCUGGGGAGUACGGCCGCAAGGCUAAAACUCAAAGGAAUUGACGGGGGCCCGCACAAGCGGCGGAGCAUGCGGAUUAAUUCGAUGCAACGCGAAGAACCUUACCAAGGCUUGACAUGUGCCAGACCGCUCCAGAGAUGGGGUUUCCCUUCGGGGCUGGUUCACAGGUGGUGCAUGGUUGUCGUCAGCUCGUGUCGUGAGAUGUUGGGUUAAGUCCCGCAACGAGCGCAACCCUCGUUCCAUGUUGCCAGCACGUAGU
rnacentral:rRNA from 1 species